ensembl:lncRNA
GCUAGGGAAAGGUUAGGUUUUCUAGGGACUUUGAAGGUUUAGGGCAGAUUUGUUUUUUUCGUUUAUGGACAAAAAAACAGAAGCCCCAGCCAGGCUCCCAGGAGGGGUCUGCACCUGAUAUAGCCAGGCUGCAUUUAUGAUGGUCCCCUGACAGUUGGCCAUUUAGGGAGGAAUGAGAAAUGUUUGGGGUUCUGUUUCUAUUUCCUAACAACUAUCUGCCCAGGUUAAGUUCAGGCAGCCAUGUGGCCAUGAGAGGGCUACUUUGCAACAGUGCAUAAGGGGACAAUCUUUUUCUAACUGAGCAGGGUUGGUAAGGGGUCAAAUCAGGUCAGGCUGAUAUGUGAUGGUAGACCUGAGGAAACUGUCAGGUGCCUGGUGUACUCACCACCGUCAGGUAAUGUCACUGGCUUUUCCCUGAAAAAGAAAAACUUAGAAACAAAGAACAAUUAUUAUGACACUAUAAAGAACUGCAGCUGAGGAAGAGGAACCAGGGCCAGAUUCCUGCACUGGAGUUGCCUAGUUUGUGGGCCUACCAAGUAAAUUGUUUUAUACUUUUCCACUGGGCCAGACUUGUUUCUAUAGUAACAGCAUUCUCAUUUAAGAGGCAUGUGUUCCCCUAUACUGAUGUAAAUAAAUUUGCCCAAUUUAUUCCAGUUACGUCUGGGAGAGCCGGUGCUUUACCCUGGAUGAGUUCAAAGCUCUCCAAAACCAGCUAACUUCCUACUUGUUUUCUCUACAGGACAUCUGAGCAUAAUUCGAUAGCUACCUGGUAGUGUAAAACACAAAGGUGGUUGGUCUGCUCAUCUCCACUUUAGCCAGUUAAGAUUAAUAGGGCAGGUACUGAGCGAAGACACCAAAUGGACCCUAAACACCUCACUCUCCCGAGGACACAAUUCUGAGUUGCCAAAGUUUAGGGCUAGAGAGAUGGCCCAGCAGUUAAAAGUCCUAGUUGGCUGGUCUUCUAGAGAACCUAGUUUCAAUUCUGAGCACCCACAUAGUGGCUCACAACUGUAACUGUAACUCCAGUUUCAGGAGUAUCUGAUGCCCUCUUCUGGUCUCCAUGGGCACUGCAAGCACAUGGUCCUGACACGUGCAGGCAAAAAUAAGAAAAAUUUUAUAGAUAAAAAAUUUUCAAAAAAUAUUGUGCUAACACUGGAAAGUUUCAGGCUAGAAGUGACUCAUGGUAAAAUAAAUAAUGGAAAUGAAUUCUACAGGCAUAAAAUUAUCAUGCUUCUAUAUUUGAGAUUGAGACUGCCUCAAAUUCACAUUCUCACUAUCAAAUGGACAAAGAAACUGAAAACAAUUGCAUACCUUUUCUCCUCCAAGUUGCACCACUUCAUCUCAAGCAUCGGAGCUGUAAGAGAAAUAACCAGAGGUAAUUAGAGACACCGAUGCUGACAAUAAUUUCCUUGUAUCAACAAUCCUCAGUAUACUCAGUAAUGUUUCCAGUUUUAAAUGCAAAACCGUAUUUUUCUCUUUAUGUAUUAAUUCAUUGACCAACUCUCCAUUUAUUAUUUUGUGUAUGCACACAGAAUACAUGAAGGCCCAAAGGUAACUCUAGAGUUGGUUCUCUCCACCACAUAGGGUCCAAGAAUCAAACCCAAAGGUAGUGAGGGUGGGCACUGCUAUGCCAUCUCACUAAAAUACAUUCCUCCCUCCCCCUUAUCUAGAUGGUUGGCUUCACUAAGUCCUAUAAAGUUGGCCUCAGGUAAAUCCUUUAACCCAUCAGAGUAGCUUUUCCAAUCAGGUUAGAGUUCUCAUCCUUGGCCAAGAAUUGUGUUCCUGGAAUUAUGCCGGGACAAGUCAAAUCUUUU